GAUGAACGCUGGCGGCGGGCCUAACACAUGCAAGUCGAGCGAACGGACGAGAAUUUUGCUUCUCUGCUGUUACCGGCGGGCGGGUGAGUCACACGUGUAUACCCGACCUAUAAGACUGAGAUCCCUUCGGGAGACCUGAUCUAACACCGGACGUUAUGGUGAACCGCAUGGUUCAAAAGACAAAGACGUACUUGCUGUCACUUAUUGAUGGAUCCGCGCUGCAUUAGCUAGUUGGUAAGGUAACGGCCUACCAAGGCAACGAUGCAUAGCCGACCUGAGAGGGUGAUCAGCCACACUGGAACUGAGACACGGUCCAGACUCCUACGGGAGGCAGCAGUAGGGAAUAUUCCGCAAUGGGCGAAAGCCUGACGGAGCCACGCCGCGUGAGUGAUGAAGGUCUUCGGAUCGUAAAACUCUGUUAGUAGGGAGGAAGGUAAGUGUGUGUAACUGUGCACAUCUUGACGGUACCUACACAGAAAGCCACGGCUAACUACGUG
rnacentral:rRNA from 1 species